rnacentral:rRNA from 1 species
GUGUCAGCAGCCGCGGUAAUACGUAGGGUGCAAGCGUUGUCCGGAAUUAUUGGGCGUAAAGAGCUCGUAGGUGGUCCGUUACGUCUGCUGUGAAAACUCGGGGCUCAACCCCGAGCCUGCAGUGGAUACGGGCGGACUAGAGUGCGGUAGGGGAGACUGGAAUUCCUGGUGUAGCGGUGAAAUGCGCAGAUAUCAGGAGGAACACCGGUGGCGAAGGCGGGUCUCUGGACCGAUACUGACACUGAGGAGCGAAAGCGUGGGGAGCGAACAGGAUUAGAUACCCCCGUAGUCC